UAGAGUUUGAUCCUGGCUCAGAUUGAACGCUGGCGGCAGGCCUAACACAUGCAAGUCGAACGGUAACAGGAAACAGCUUGCUGUUUCGCUGACGAGUGGCGGACGGGUGAGUAAUGUCUGGGAAACUGCCUGAUGGAGGGGGAUAACUACUGGAAACGGUAGCUAAUACCGCAUAACGUCGCAAGACCAAAGAGGGGGACCUUCGGGCCUCUUGCCAUCAGAUGUGCCCAGAUGGGAUUAGCUAGUAGGUGGGGUAACGGCUCACCUAGGCGACGAUCCCUAGCUGGUCUGAGAGGAUGACCAGCCACACUGGAACUGAGACACGGUCCAGACUCUACGGAGGCAGCAGAAGGG
rnacentral:rRNA from 1 species